AAUCCAUAGGUUAAUGAGGCGAACCGGGGGAACUGAAACAUCUAAGUACCCCGAGGAAAAGAAAUCAACCGAGAUUCCCCCAGUAGCGGCGAGCGAACGGGGAGGAGCCCAGAGCCUGAAUCAGCAUGUGUGUUAGUGGAAGCGUCUGGAAAGGCGCGCGAUACAGGGUGACAGCCCCGUACACAAAAGCGCAUGUGCUGUGAGCUCGAUGAGUAGGGCGGGACACGUGGUAUCCUGUCUGAAUAUGGGGGGACCAUCCUCCAAGGCUAAAUACUCCUGACUGACCGAUAGUGAACCAGUACCGUGAGGGAAAGGCGAAAAGAACCCCGGCGAGGGGAGUGAAAAAGAACCUGAAACCGUGUACGUACAAGCAGUGGGAGCACCCUUUGGGUGUGACUGCGUACCUUUUGUAUAAUGGGUCAGCGACUUAUAUUCUGUAGCAAGGUUAACCGAAUAGGGGAGCCGGAGGGAAACCGAGUCUUAACCGGGCGUUAAGUUGCAGGGUAUAGACCCGAAACCCGGUGAUCUAGCCAUGGGCAGGUUGAAGGUUGGGUAACACUAACUGGAGGACCGAACCGACUAAUGUUGAAAAAUUAGCGGAUGACCUGUGGCUGGGGGUGAAAGGCCAAUCAAACCGGGAGAUAGCUGGUUCUCCCCGAAAGCUAUUUAGGUAGCGCCUCGUGAAUUCAUCUCCGGGGGUAGAGCACUGUUUCGGCUAGGGGGCCAUCCCGGCUUACCAACCCGAUGCAAACUGCGAAUACCGGAGAAUGUUAUCACGGGAGACACACGGCGGGUGCUAACGUCCGUCGUGAAGAGGGAAACAACCCAGACCGCCAGCUAAGGUCCCAAAGUCAUGGUUAAGUGGGAAACGAUGUGGGAAGGCCCAGACAGCCAGGAUGUUGGCUUAGAAGCAGCCAUCAUUUAAAGAAAGCGUAAUAGCUCACUGGUCGAGUCGGCCUGCGCGGAAGAUGUAACGGGGCUAAACCAUGCACCGAAGCUGCGGCAGCGACACUGUGUGUUGUUGGGUAGGGGAGCGUUCUGUAAGCCUGUGAAGGUGUGUCGUGAGGCAUGCUGGAGGUAUCAGAAGUGCGAAUGCUGACAUAAGUAACGAUAAAGCGGGUGAAAAGCCCGCUCGCCGGAAGACCAAGGGUUCCUGUCCAACGUUAAUCGGGGCAGGGUGAGUCGACCCCUAAGGCGAGGCCGAAAGGCGUAGUCGAUGGGAAACGGGUUAAUAUUCCCGUACUUGGUGUUACUGCGAAGGGGGGACGGAGAAGGCUAUGUUGGCCGGGCGACGGUUGUCCCGGUUUAAGCGUGUAGGUGUGUGUUCCAGGUAAAUCCGGUUCACUUUAACACUGAGGCGUGACGACGAGGCACUACGGUGCUGAAGCAACAAAUGCCCUGCUUCCAGGAAAAGCCUCUAAGCAUCAGGUAACAUCAAAUCGUACCCCAAACCGACACAGGUGGUCAGGUAGAGAAUACCAAGGCGCUUGAGAGAACUCGGGUGAAGGAACUAGGCAAAAUGGUGCCGUAACUUCGGGAGAAGGCACGCUGACACGUAGGUGAAGUGAUUUACUCAUGGAGCUGAAGUCAGUCGAAGAUACCAGCUGGCUGCAACUGUUUAUUAAAAACACAGCACUGUGCAAACACGAAAGUGGACGUAUACGGUGUGACGCCUGCCCGGUGCCGGAAGGUUAAUUGAUGGGGUCAGCGCAAGCGAAGCUCCUGAUCGAAGCCCCGGUAAACGGCGGCCGUAACUAUAACGGUCCUAAGGUAGCGAAAUUCCUUGUCGGGUAAGUUCCGACCUGCACGAAUGGCGUAAUGAUGGCCAGGCUGUCUCCACCCGAGACUCAGUGAAAUUGAACUCGCUGUGAAGAUGCAGUGUACCCGCGGCAAGACGGAAAGACCCCGUGAACCUUUACUAUAGCUUGACACUGAACAUUGAGCCUUGAUGUGUAGGAUAGGUGGGAGGCUUUGAAGUGUGGACGCCAGUCUGCAUGGAGCCGACCUUGAAAUACCACCCUUUAAUGUUUGAUGUUCUAACGUGGACCCGUUACCCGGGUUGCGGACAGUGUCUGGUGGGUAGUUUGACUGGGGCGGUCUCCUCCUAAAGAGUAACGGAGGAGCACGAAGGUUGGCUAAUCCUGGUCGGACAUCAGGAGGUUAGUGCAAUGGCAUAAGCCAGCUUGACUGCGAGCGUGACGGCGCGAGCAGGUGCGAAAGCAGGUCAUAGUGAUCCGGUGGUUCUGAAUGGAAGGGCCAUCGCUCAACGGAUAAAAGGUACUCCGGGGAUAACAGGCUGAUACCGCCCAAGAGUUCAUAUCGACGGCGGUGUUUGGCACCUCGAUGUCGGCUCAUCACAUCCUGGGGCUGAAGUAGGUCCCAAGGGUAUGGCUGUUCGCCAUUUAAAGUGGUACGCGAGCUGGGUUUAGAACGUCGUGAGACAGUUCGGUCCCUAUCUGCCGUGGGCGCUGGAGAACUGAGGGGGGCUGCUCCUAGUACGAGAGGACCGGAGUGGACGCAUCACUGGUGUUCGGGUUGUCAUGCCAAUGGCACUGCCCGGUAGCUAAAUGCGGAAGAGAUAAGUGCUGAAAGCAUCUAAGCACGAAACUUGCCCCGAGAUGAGUUCUCCCUGAGACUUAAAGUCUCCUGAAGGAACGUUGAAGACGACGACGUUGAUAGGCC
rnacentral:rRNA from 1 species